GAGGACUUUGAUCAUGAGUAGCAGCUACAUGGUUUACAGGGCCUCUACGUUCCUGAUCUUCAUUUUCCUAUUAUUAAUUUCGAAUGAAUUGGCUCCAUUGGAAGCCAGAACAAACAUCCCAGCCAAAGUAAAGACAAGAUACUACAGAGAGUUCAAUGAUCAUAAAAUCCGGGGUUCUGAUCAUGGUUCUCCAUCUGAUGGAGAAAGUCCACCAGCCAACAGACAUGAUGGCCGUAGUGCUCAACACCGCUGGGGAGAAGGUGGAGUCUGAAUUAUGUGGAGCACUGGCCUAUGGCAUCAGCUGAUCCAUGGCCGCAGCUUAUUUUGUGUGUGUGUGUGUUGUGUAUACAUGAUCAGUACCAGCGGUGAUCUGGUGGUAGUCUUUUCUUUCUGUUUUUAAAGCAGUGGUUUUGACUGAAAUAAAAGGCCGCUGGGUUUUUGUAGAGAC